rnacentral:RNase_P_RNA from 1 species
GGCAAAGGGGAGCUGCUCAUUGGUCGCUUCACCCAGUGUCCCUUGGGAAAGUCUGAGACUAGAGCCAAAAGCGGCCCUAAUGGGGAAGUGAGUUCCCAGAAGCACAGGUGACACUCCGGACUUGUGACUCGCAUCUGAAUUGCCCGGGGAGGGGGACAGUCUCAUGAGACCCAACCUAUGGGAUUGGAUGCUAUCUCCAGGUACAUGGUGUCAGACUGAGCCAACUGCCUCGGGAGUCGGCCCCUCCCCCAACACACACUGGAAUUGGGUUCAGAACUUUUUCACUGUUAGUGCAAAAAAAGAGGAAACCCAAGGUCCCCUCCUGCU